rnacentral:rRNA from 1 species
ACGGGUGAGUAACGCGUGGGAAUCUACCCAUCUCUACGGAAUAACGCAUGGAAGCGUGUGCUAAUACCGUAUACGUCCUUCGGGAGAAAGAUUUAUCGGAGAUGGAUGAGCCCGCGUUGGAUUAGCUAGUUGGUGGGGCAAAGGCCUACCAAGGCGACGAUCCAUAGCUGGUCUGAGAGGAUGAUCAGCCACACUGGGACUGAGACACGGCCCAGACUCCUACGGGAGGCAGCAGUGGGGAAUAUUGGACAAUGGGCGCAAGCCUGAUCCAGCCAUGCCGCAUGAGUGAUGAAGGCCCUAGGGUUGUAAAGCUCUUUCACCGGUGAAGAUAAUGACGGUAACCGGAGAAGAAGCCCCGGCUAACUUCGUGCCAGCAGCCGCGGUAAUACGAAGGGGGCUAGCGUUGUUCGGAGUUACUGGGCGUAAAGCGCACGUAGGCGGACUAUUAAGUCAGGGGUGAAAUCCCGGGGCUCAACCCCGGAACUGCCUUUGAUACUGGUAGUCUUGAGUUCGAGAGAGGUGAGUGGAAUUCCGAGUGUAGAGGUGAAAUUCGUAGA